AGGGUUGAUCCUGGCUCAGGAUAAACGCUGGCGGCGCACAUAAGACAUGCAAGUCGAACGGAAGUUGUUAUAAAAAGGAUUGAGGAUUUAUCCGAUUGAGAUUUUAUAACAAUGGCUUUAGUAGCGGACUGGUGAGUAACGCGUGAGCAACCUGCCUACUAGAGGGGAAUAACAGUGAGAAAUCACUGCUAAUACCGCAUAUGCCAUGAACAUCACAUGAUGAAAAUGGGAAAAGAGAAAUCUGCUAGUAGAUGGGCUCGCGUCUGAUUAGAUAGUUGGUGGGGUAACGGCCUACCAAAUCGACGAUCAGUAGCCGGACUGAGAGGUUGAACGGCCACAUUGGGACUGAGAUACGGCCCAG
rnacentral:rRNA from 1 species